GAAAUAAUUUAUUUUAAAAAUUUUUGAACAAAAAAAUUAAGAAAAAUUUAUAAAUAUAAAAAAAAUACAAUGAAAAUUUACUUGAAACUAAUUCACAGGGUAUUGAUAUUGUUAAUGAUUAUAGAAGCAAAGAUCAAAUAUGUCGACAGCAGAUACCUUCCCACCCGAAGCAAGGACGCGGUUGAAGAUAUGAGGACUUUAUUCCACGCGAUCAAAGAAGGUAGAGUGAAUUUUUCAAAUCGGAAUUCGCCCAUAUAUUCGGAGUCCUCUAUGAGGCGAAAUGAAUUCUUAGAAGAGGCAAACCCCAUAGGUUUCGGACAAGGGUUAGAAGUUGACCCAUUGCAGAAUAUGCUAUUUUUGGAUCAUAAAGGAAGGCGGUACACUUGUCAAAAUGGCGUCUGGGGCUUAGUCAUUGAGUGCAUAUGUCACCUGACGUAUAGAUCUAGGUUCAAAUCCAACAAUGACCGGGUGUUCGGAAGCCAACUAGAUGGUUCUAUGCUACGAGGAUAUAUAGAAUAUCAAAAGCUACUACGUGUAUGGGGUCCCUUUAAUAUAUAUCAGAGACCUGCAGAGGUAUUUUCAUGGCUCGGUCCGAAUCUCAUAUUUUUCAGACUCGGCCGCAAAAAAUUCAGGCCCAGCCCGGAUUUUUAUAAUCAAAUUUGAUUGUCGUUAAGCAAAUCGCUAUAUGAUAACCAACGCCAUACAUCAAUACCCACAUUUUUUAGAAGAUUUCGGCCUUCAACAUUAACAAGAAAUAAUCUCCAUUGCCUCAAUAUUAACACAAAAAAAAUACUA